rnacentral:rRNA from 1 species
UACGAAGGGGGCUAGCGUUGCUCGGAAUCACUGGGCGUAAAGCGCACGUAGGCGGACUCUUAAGUCGGUGGUGAAAUCCUGGAGCUCAACCCCAGAACUGCCUUCGAUACUGAGAGUCUUGAGUCCGGGGGAGGUGAGUGGAACUGCGAGUGUAGAGGUGAAAUUCGUAGAUAUUCGCAAGAACACCAGUGGCGAAGGCGGCUCACUGGCCCGGUACUGACGCUGAGGUGCGAAAGCGUGGGGAGCAAACAGG